UGGGGAAUCUUGGACAAUGGGGGCGAACCCUGAUCCAGCCAUGCCGCGUGAGUGAUGAAGGCCUUAGGGUCGUAAAGCUCUUUCGCCUGUGAAGAUAAUGACGGUACCUAGUAAAGAAGUCCCGGCUAACUCCGUGCCAGCAGCCGCGGUAAUACGGAGGGGACUAGCGUUGUUCGGAAUUACUGGGCGUAAAGAGUUCGUAGGCGGACUAGCAAGUUAGAGGUGAAAUCCCAGGGCUCAACCUUGGAACUGCCUUUAAAAGCUGCUAGUCUAGAGACCGGAAGAGGUUAGGGGAAUACCUAGUGUAGAGGUGAAAUUCGUAGAUAUUAGGUGGAACACCAGUGGCGAAGGCGCCUAACUGGUCCGGUACUGACGCUGAGGAACGAAAGCGUGGGGAGC
rnacentral:rRNA from 1 species